UACGGAGGGUGCGAGCGUUAAUCGGAAUUACUGGGCGUAAAGCGCACGUAGGCGGUCAGGCAAGUCGGGUGUGAAAGCCCUGGGCUCAACCUGGGAAUUGCAUUCGAAACUAUCUGACUCGAGUAUGGGAGAGGGAAGCGGAAUUUCCGGUGUAGCGGUGAAAUGCGUAGAUAUUGGGAGGAACACCAGUGGCGAAGGCGGCUCGCUGGACCGGAACUGACGCUGAUGCGCGAAAGCGUGGGGAGCAAACGGG
rnacentral:rRNA from 1 species